rnacentral:rRNA from 1 species
UACGGAGGGGGCAAGCGUUAUCCGGAUUUACUGGGCUUAAAGGGUGCGUAGGUGGUUUUGUAAGUCAGUGGUGAAAGCCCGGAGCUCAACUCCGGAACUGCCAUUGAUACUGCUUAACUUGAAUCAACUUGAGGUGGAUGGAAUAUUACAUGUAGCGGUGAAAUGCUUAGAUAUGUAAUAGAACACCGAUUGCGAAGGCAGUUCACUAGGGUUGUAUUGACACUGAGGCACGAAAGCGUGGGGAUCAAACAGG